rnacentral:rRNA from 1 species
UACGUAGGCAGCGGGCGUUGUUCGGAAUUACUGGGCGUAAAGAGUGUGUAGGCGGUGCUCUAAGUUCGGUGUGAAAUCUCCUGGCUCAACUGGGAGGGUGCGCCGGAAACUGGAGUGCUUGAGCGUGGGAGAGGAAAGCGGAAUUCCUGGUGUAGCGGUGAAAUGCGUAGAUAUCAGGAGGAACACCUGUGGUGUAGACGGCUUUUUGGACCAUAGCUGACGCUGAGACACGAAAGCGUGGGGAGCGAUCCGG